UGGGCGGAAAUGGCUGUGUGAGCUCCGUUUCUGGGGGGGUUUCCGGGUUCCCGGGUUGAGUUUCCGGGUUGUCCACCGGUGGGGGGCUUUUCUUACGAGACGAGCAAGACGGUGGCAAGAAGAAGCGCUUUCACCUUCUAGUGGGAGCGCCAUGUCGGGACGCGAGGGUGGAAAGAAGAAGCCCUUGAAGCAACCCAAGAAACAGUCGAAGGAAUUAGAUGAGGAAGAUAAAGCUUUCAUGCAGAAGAAGAAGGAGGAGCAAAAGAAAUUGGAUGAGAUGAAGACAAAAGCUGCUGGCAAGGGCCCUCUUGCCGGAGGUGGGAUUAAAAAAUCUGGCAAGAAGUAGAGAGUUCUCUGGGACCGCUGUGGCAAGAAAAAGAAAAUGAGUUCCUUCUCCUUUGAAGCUUAGCAGUAGGAAGAAUUUCCAAGCUAAUGUUGCGGGAAACAUUAAUAUAAGCACCUUUGUACAUUUUGUUCAAACAAAAUAAAGUAUUGGUUUGUUUUAAUGAC